UACGUAGGGAGCAAGCGUUGUCCGGAAUCAUUGGGCGUAAAGCGCGCGUAGGUGGCCCGGUAAGUCCGCUCUGAAAGUCACAGGCUCAACCUGUGAAAGCGGGUGGAUACUGCCGGGCUAGAGUCCGGAAGAGGCGAGUGGAAUUCCUGGUGUAGCGGUGAAAUGCGCAGAUAUCAGGAGGAACACCGAUGGCGAAGGCAGCUCGCUGGGACGGUACUGACGCUGAGGCGCGAAAGCGUGGGGAGCAAACAGG
rnacentral:rRNA from 1 species